rnacentral:rRNA from 1 species
CCUACGGUGGGCUGCAGUGGGGAAUAUUGGACAAUGGGCGAAAGCCUGAUCCAGCCAUGCCGCGUGUGUGAAGAAGGCCUUCGGGUUGUAAAGCACUUUCAGUGGGGAAGAAAGCCUUGGGGCUAAUACCCUCGAGGAAGGACAUCACCCACAGAAGAAGCACCGGCUAACUCCGUGCCAGCAGCCGCGGUAAUACGGAGGGUGCGAGCGUUAAUCGGAAUUACUGGGCGUAAAGCGCGCGUAGGCGGUCUGAUAAGCCGGUUGUGAAAGCCCCGGGCUCAACCUGGGAACGGCAUCCGGAACUGUCAGGCUAGAGUGCAGGAGAGGAAGGUAGAAUUCCCGGUGUAGCGGUGAAAUGCGUAGAGAUCGGGAGGAAUACCAGUGGCGAAGGCGGCCUUCUGGACUGACACUGACGCUGAGGUGCGAAAGCGUGGGUAGCAAACAGGAUUAGAUACCCUUGUAGUC